UACGAAGGGGCUAGGCGUUGCUCGGAAUCACUGGGCGUAAAGGGUGCGUAGGCGGGUCUUUUAAGUCAGGGGUGAAAUCCUGGAGCUCAACUCCCGAACUGCCUUUGAUACUGAGGAUCUUGAGUUCGGGGAGAGGUGAGUGGAACUGCGGAGUGUAGAGGUGAAAUUCGUAGAUAUUCGCAAGAACACCAGUGGCGAAGGCGGCUCACUGGCCCGAUACUGACGCUGAGGCGCGAAAGCGUGGGGAGCAAACAGG
rnacentral:rRNA from 1 species